GACGAACGCUGGCGGCGUGCUUAACACAUGCAAGUCGAACGGAAAGGCCCUGCAUUUUUGGGGUUCUCGAGUGGCUAACGGGUGAGUAACACGUGAGUAACCUGCCCUUGACUUUGGGAUAACUUCAGGAAACUGGGGCUAAUACCGGAUAGGAGCUCCUGCUGCAUGGUGGGGGGUGGAAAGUUUCGGCGGUUGGGGAUGGACUCGCGGCUUAUCAGCUUGUUGGUGGGGUAGUGCCUUACCAAGGGUGUGACGGGUAGCCGGCCUGAGAGGGUGACCGGGCACAUUGGGACUGAGAUACGGACCAGACUGCUACGGGAGGCAGCAGUGGGGAAUAUUGCACAAUGGGCGGAAGCCUGAUGCAGCAACGUCGCGUGCGGGAUGACGGCCUACGGGUUGUAAACCGCUUUCGCCUGUGACGAAGCGUGAGUGACGGUAAUGGGUAAAGAAGCACCGGCUAACUACGUG
rnacentral:rRNA from 1 species